AAAGAGAAGAGAGAGCAGAACUCUUGGUAGUCAUUUUUCUCUACUUCUUUAACAGAGCCAGUGGUACUGGGGAGCUGCAAUCCUGAUUAUUACUUGCAAGCAUUUAUUAGUUACCUAGCUGCAUUCAUGCCCUCAGCCAGCAGCCCUUCAAGGUUAGCCUGUGCAGGGUUCAGCAGAGGGUUUAGCUGCUUGCCCUGGUCCCAGCACAACAGCCUUCAAAUGGGAACUUACCUUAAUGGUGACCAGUGUCCCAUCUUGCCAGGGAGGUCAACAGAAGUUUAGCCGCUGACAUCAUGAACAGGAUUGCAACCCGUAUCUGUGAUUAGUGAUGAAAUGAAACCCACAGCUUGAAAUCAUUUAUCCAUCAUAUCCGAUCAAACACAAACAUCCUCUGCACUUGAAAAUAAAUGAGGGUUGGAGCCAGCUCGCCUCUGCA
rnacentral:lncRNA from 1 species